AUAUGAUGACUUUGAGUUAAACCAGCUGGAAUUACCGGCAGAUUGCUCAGUGGUGAGAAAAUACUCUUCUGAUU